rfam:Salmo salar isolate Sally breed double haploid chromosome ssa13, whole genome shotgun sequence.
UGCUUGCAUAACUGUAAGUAGCUUUGGAUAAAAGCAUCUGUUAAAUGCCUUAUA